AGUGAACGCUGGCGGUAGGCCUAACACAUGCAAGUCGAACGGCAGCACAGUAAGAGCUUGCUCUUACGGGUGGCGAGUGGCGGACGGGUGAGGAAUACAUCGGAAGCUACUUUUUCGUGGGGGAUAACGUAGGGAAACUUACGCUAAUACCGCAUACGACCUACGGGUGAAAGCAGGGGAUCUUCGGACCUUGCGCGAUUCAAUGAGCCGAUGUCGGAUUAGCUAGUUGGCGGGGUAAAGGCCCACCAAGGCGUCGAUCCGUAGCUGGUCUGAGAGGAUGAUCAGUGCCACUGGCACUCAGACACGGUCACGCCUCCUACGGCCGGCAGCAGUGGGGCUGUUUGGACAAUGGGCUAAAGCCUGAUCCAGCCAUGCCGCGUGGGUGAAGAACGUCUUCGGAUUGUAAAGCACUUUUAUUUGGACAGAAAAGCAUUAAGUUAAUACCCCGCUGUUCUGACGGUACCAAAAGAAUAAGCACCGGCUAACUUCGUG
rnacentral:rRNA from 1 species